GACGAACGCUGGCGGCGUGCUUAACACAUGCAAGUCGAACGGUGAAAGAGGAGCUUGCUCCUCUGGAUCAGUGGCGAACGGGUGAGUAACACGUGAGCAAUCUGCCCCUGACUCUGGGAUAACCUCGGGAAACCGAAGCUAAUACCGGAUAUGACGCGCGAAGGCAUCUUCUGCGCGUGGAAAGAAUUUCGGUCAGGGAUGAGCUCGCGGCCUAUCAGCUAGUUGGUGAGGUAACGGCCCACCAAGGCGACGACGGGUAGCCGGCCUGAGAGGGUGACCGGCCACACUGGGACUGAGACACGGCCCAGACUCCUACGGGAGGCAGCAGUGGGGAAUAUUGCACAAUGGGCGCAAGCCUGAUGCAGCAACGCCGCGUGAGGGACGACGGCCUUCGGGUUGUAAACCUCUUUUAGUAGGGAAGAAGCGAAAGUGACGGUACCUGCAGAAAAAGCACCGGCUAACUACGUGCCAGCAGCCGCCGUAAAC
rnacentral:rRNA from 1 species